GGCGAGUGGCGAACGGGUGAGUAAUACAUCGGAACGUGCCCUGUAGUGGGGGAUAACUAGUCGAAAGAUUAGCUAAUACCGCAUACGACCUGAGGGUGAAAGUGGGGGACCGCAAGGCCUCAUGCUAUAGGAGCGGCCGAUGUCUGAUUAGCUAGUUGGUGGGGUAAAGGCCCNCCNAGGCGACGAUCAGNAGCUGGUACUGACGACGGCCGUUCC
rnacentral:rRNA from 1 species